rnacentral:rRNA from 1 species
CGGGUGAGUAAUGUCUGGGAAACUGCCCGAUGGAGGGGGAUAACUACUGGAAGCGGUAGCUAAUACCGCAUAACGUCGCAAGACCAAAGAGGGGGACCUUAGGGCCUCUUGCCAUCGGAUGUGCCCAGAUGGGAUUAGCUAGUAGGUGGGGUAAUGGCUCACCUAGGCGACGAUCCCUAGCUGGUCUGAGAGGAUGACCAGCCACACUGGAACUGAGACACGGUCCAG